rnacentral:rRNA from 1 species
GUAGGUGGCAAGCGUUGUCCGGAAUUAUUGGGCGUAAAGCGCGCGCAGGCGGUCCUUUAAGUCUGAUGUGAAAGCCCACGGCUCAACCGUGGAGGGUCAUUGGAAACUGGGGGGACUUGAGUACAGAAGAGGAAAGCGGAAUUCCAAGUGUAGCGGUGAAAUGCGUAGAGAUUUGGAGGAACACCAGUGGCGAAGGCGGCUUUCUGGUCUGUAACUGACGCUGAGGCGCGAAAGCGUGGGGAGCAAACAGGAUUAGAUACCCUGGUAGUCCACGCCGUAAACGAUGAGUGCUAAGUGUUAGGGGGUUUCCCGCCCCCUUAGUGCUGCAGCUAACGCAUUAAGCACUCCGCCUGGGGGAGUACGGCCGCAAGGCUG